rnacentral:rRNA from 1 species
CGAAAGCCUGACAGAGCAAUACUGCGUGAGGGAUGACGGCUUUCGGGUUGUAAACCUCUUUUAUCAAGGAAGAAGAUCUGACGUUACUUGAUGAAUAAGCAUCGGCUAACUCCGUGCCAGCAGCCGCGGUAAUACGGAGGAUGCAAGUGUUAUCCGGAAUCACUGGGCGUAAAGCGUCUGUAGGUGGUUUAGCAAGUCCGUUGUUAAAGGCUGAGGCUCAACCUUGGUAUGGCAAUAGAUACUACUAGACUAGAGGAUUGUAGAGGUAGAGGGAAUUUCCAGUGGAGCGGUGAAAUGCGUAGAGAUUGGAAAGAACACCAAAGGCGAAGGCACUCUACUGGGCAAUACCUGACACUGAGAGACGAAAGCUAGGGUAGCAAAUGGGAUUAGAUACCCCAGUAGUCCUAGCUGUAAACGAUGGAUACUAGAUGUUGGAGGUCCCGAUCCCUUUGAUAUCAAAGCUAACGCGUUAAGUAUCCCGCCUGGGAAGUACGCUCGCAAGAGUGAAACUCAAAGGAAUUGACGGGGACCCGCACAAGCGGUGGAGCAUGUGGUUUAAUUUGAUGCAACGCGAAGAACCUUACCAGGGUUUGACAUGACGUAAAUUUCUUUGAGAAAAGAAAGUGCCGUAAGGAAUACGUACACAGGUGGUGCACGGCUGUCGUCAGCUCGUGUCGUGAGAUGUUGGGUUAAGUCCCGCAACGAGCGCAACCCUUGUUUUUAGUUGCCAUAUGGAAAUCUAAAAAGACUGCCGAUUCAACAUCGGAGGAAGGAAAGGACGACGUCAAGUCAUCAUGCCCCUUAUACCCUGGGCUACACACGUGCUACAAAGAGAAAGACAAUGAGCAGCUAACCUGCAAAGGGGUGCGAAUCUCCAAACUUUCUCUCAGUUCGGAUUGUAG